rnacentral:lncRNA from 1 species
AUUGUAACUCAGCAGUAGAUUCAAAGGCACAACAAUUCUCUGAGUUGAGUGAGUGGUCACCUAUGAGCCUCGUUUUCCUCUUCUGUUGAGGAGCCUUCAGCUGCAGCCCAAGCUUCUAAAAGAGCCUCUCCACACUGCCUCUUAUGACCUUUUGUCUCUCCAGCCCCAAAUGGGCUCAGAAAGAGUCAGACACACUGAAGAACAACACCGUGAGCCUGGGAGGCAGCUGACUUCCUCCUCUUCCUCCUCUUCCUUGGGCUCUGCAGGUUGUUUCUGCCAGCAGUUCAGAAAGGCUGGGAAAGGAUCAACAGCUGUUUGGACCAACUGAAAGAAGAGGUAGAGAAGCCUUGUGCCUGGCACACAGUAGGCACAUUCUUACAGGGAUCCAGCUGGGGAGACACCCAACCUAGCCUUCAGCCUCCCUCUGCUUUGGGCAAAAUGCUUCUCCACACCAUGACGGAAGCAACCAGGCCUAGGCCUGCCCCAGGAUCCUUCAACCAACCCAGCCCAGCUCAGCCCAGCCUAGCCCAGCCCAGCCCAGCCCAGCCCAGCCCAGCUCAGCCCAGCCUAAUCCAGCCUAGCCCAGCCCAGCCCAGCCUAACCCAGCCCAGCCCAGCCCAGCCCAGCUCAGCCCAGCCCAGCCCAGCCUAAUCCAGCCCAGCUCAGCCCCUGCCACUGGCUCCCUCUUCUUGCUCACUCUGA